CCUACGGGAGGCUGCAGUGGGGAAUAUUGCACAAUGGGGGGAACCCUGAAGCAGCGACGCCGCGUGAGGGAAGAAGGAUUUCGGUAUGGAAAGCUCUAUCAGCAGGGAAGAAAAUGACGGUACCUGACUAAGAAGCCCCGGCUAACUACGUGCCAGAAGACACGGUAAUGCGUAGGGGGCAAGCGUUAUCCGGAUUUAAUGGGUGUAAAGGGGGCGCAGACGGGUGUGCGAGACUGGAGUGAAAGGCGGGGGCCCAACCCCCGUACUGCUCUUGAAACUGGAAAGCUGGAGUGCAGGAGAGGUAAGCGGAAUGCCUAGUGUAGCGGUGAAAUGCGUAGAUAUUAGGAGGAACACCAGUGGCGAAGGCGGCUUACUGGACUGCAACUGACGUUGAGGCUCGAAAGCGUGGGUAGCAAACAGGAUUAGAUACCCGAGUAGUC
rnacentral:rRNA from 1 species